UCGAAUUCCCUGAUUUUCCCUCUUACGGCGCUACCAGAAAGUUCCGGUGUUCUGUUUUUCCGGUCCGGGCGGAAACACUUCCGGGCGGAACCAAAAUUCGGGAAGAUCGUCACCUUGUGACAUCAACGUACGUUACAUUUGCACAUAACGUACUUAAACUGGUUUUGAUAAUUUUCUCUCCUCAGAAAAUCCAGUAUGACUUCUCUGAAAGUCUCAAAAGCUUCACAGAGCAGCACCAUCAGUUAAUGAAGAAAUGUGGCUCUGUAGUGGACACCUGUGAGGCAGUGGACAGACAGCUGCUGAUGUCGGAUGCUGACUGACAAUAAACAGACGUCUCUGGACGUACCCCAUAUUUUGCAGAGAAAUUAAACCAUUGCCCUUCCUGUUACAUGCUGUCCUGGACUGUAUAUGAUGAGCCUACACAGAAUCUCAGAACAGCUGUGGUAAUAACAGGAGACUCAUUAGAUGAGAGCAGCACUGCAGACUUUCCUGAUGGUGAGGAGCUUCUUGCUGAUGAACCUGCCGACAUGAGUUCAACUUACUAUGAGUAACUAUGUUCUGUUCAACAUUAUACAGAAAAGCAAUUAAAAGUUCACUAAAGCGCAUUGUUUUUCUGCUGUAUCUGUUGGCCAUGCAGGAGAUCAUGGACAAUUUUGACAAGACUGAUGAUGUGUUUCAGCUGUGUUUGUAUCGUGAAUCCUCACAAUGUUUGUAUAUUUUGAUUUUUUUUUAUUAUGUGCAUUUAUAACACUAUACUUUGUAUUAUAUCACAUUCAUAUCAAAUUACAGAAAAAAAUAGUUAAUGCUAAUGCAAGGGUGUUUCUAAUCCAAGAGUCUUUGGGAGGAAUGCUAAAUUUGACAUUGUUCUCUUGUCUGACUGCUGUUAUCAGUCUCUGUCAGAUUUUUUCCUUUGAUUGAAAGUUGUGAAAAUGCUAUUGUAGAGUUUUUCAUUUUGCUAUUUGAGUAAAUGAGAAUGCAAAAAUA